rnacentral:rRNA from 1 species
UCAAGUAAUUAAGUGCAUGUGGUGGAUGCCUUGGCAGUCAGAGGCGAUGAAAGACGUGAUAGCCUGCGAAAAGCUCCGGGGAGGCGGCAAAUAUCCUUUGAUCCGGAGAUGUCUGAAUGGGGGAACCCACCUACUUUAAGGUAGGUAUUGCAACAUGAAUACAUAGUGUUGCAAGGCGAACGAGGGGAAGUGAAACAUCUCAGUACCCUUAGGAAAAGAAAUCAAUUGAGAUUCCCUCAGUAGCGGCGAGCGAACGGGGAUCAGCCCAUUAAGUUAUGUGUGUUUUAGUGGAACGCUCUGGGAAGUGCGAACGUAGAGGGUGAUAUUCCCGUACACGAAAGGGCACACAUAAUGAUGACGAGUAGGGCGAGGCACGUGAUACCUUGUCUGAAUAUGGGGGGGCCAUCCUCCAAGGCUAAAUACUCCUGACUGACCGAUAGUGAACCAGUACCGUGAGGGAAAGGCGAAAAGAACCCCUGUGAGGGGAGUGAAAUAGAUCCUGAAACCGCAUGCAUACAAGCAGUGGGAGCACCUUAGUGGUGUGACUGCGUACCUUUUGUAUAAUGGGUCAGCGACUUAUAUUCAGUAGCGAGGUUAACCGUAUAGGGGAGCCGUAGAGAAAUCGAGUCUUAAUAGGGCGUUUAGUUGCUGGGUAUAGACCCGAAACCAGGCGAUCUAUCCAUGAGCAGGUUGAAGGUUGGGUAACACUAACUGGAGGACCGAACCCACUGUCGUUGAAAAGCCAGGGGAUGACUUGUGGAUAGGGGUGAAAGGCUAAUCAAGCCUGGUGAUAGCUGGUUCUCCCCGAAAGCUAUUUAGGUAGCGCCUCGGACGAAUACCAUAGGGGGUAGAGCACUGUUUCGGCUAGGGGGUCAUCCCGACUUACCAAACCGAUGCAAACUCCGAAUACCUAUGAGUACUAUCCGGGAGACAGACUGCGGGUGCUAACGUCCGUAGUCAAGAGGAAAACAAUCCAGACCGCCAGCUAAGGCCCCAAAAUCAUAGUUAAGUGGGAAACGAUGUGGGAAGGCAUAGACAGCUAGGAGGUUGGCUUAGAAGCAGCCACCCUUUAAAGAAAGCGUAAUAGCUCACUAGUCGAGUCGGCCUGCGCGGAAGAUGUAACGGGGCUAUAAAACUAUGUGCCGAAGCUGCGGAUGUAUACUUUGUAUACGUGGUAGGGGAGCGUUCUGUAAGCCGAUGAAGGUGUGUUGAGAAGCAUGCUGGAGGUAUCAGAAGUGCGAAUGCUGACGUGAGUAACGACAAAACGGGUGAAAAACCCGUUCGCCGAAAGACCAAGGGUUCCAGUCCAACGUUAAUCGGGGCUGGGUGAGUCGACCCCUAAGGCGAGGCCGAAAGGCGUAGUCGAUGGGAAAAUGGUUAAUAUUCCAUUACUUCUGUGUAAUGCGAUGAGAGGACGGAGAAGGCUAAAUCAGCCUGGCGUUGGUUGUCCAGGUGAAAGGAUGUAGGCAUGUAUCUUAGGCAAAUCCGGGGUACUCUAUGCUGAGAUCUGAUAGCAAGCUGUACUUGUACAGCGAAGUGGUUGAUGCCAUGCUUCCAGGAAAAGUCUCUAAGCUUCAGUUACACAGGAAUCGUACCCGAAACCGACACAGGUGGUCAGGUCGAGUAGACCAAGGCGCUUGAGAGAACUCUGCUGAAGGAACUAGGCAAAAUGGUACCGUAACUUCGGGAGAAGGUACGCUGUUGUUGGUGAUGGAACUCGAUUCCUGAGCUGACGACAGCCGCAGAAACCAGGCCGCUGCAACUGUUUAUUAAAAACAUAGCACUCUGCAAACACGAAAGUGGACGUAUAGGGUGUGAUGCCUGCCCGGUGCUGGAAGGUUAAUUGAUGGGGUUAGCGUAAGCGAAGCUCUUGAUCGAAGCCCCAGUAAACGGCGGCCGUAACUAUAACGGUCCUAAGGUAGCGAAAUUCCUUGUCUGGUAAGUUCCGACCUGCACGAAUGGCAUAAUGAUGGAGGCGCUGUCUCCAGCAGAGGCUCAGUGAAAUCGAAAUCGCUGUGAAGAUGCAGUGUACCCGCGGCUAGACGGAAAGACCCCGUGAACCUUUACUGCAGCUUGACACUGAACUUUGACCUUACUUGUGUAGAAUAGUUGGGAGGCUUUGAAGCUGGAACGCUAGUUCCAGUGGAGCCGUCCUUGAAAUACCACCCUGGUAAUGUUGAGGUUCUAACUCUGUCCCGUGAUCCGGGACGAGGACCGUGUCUGGUGGGUAGGUUUGACUUGGGGCGGUCUCCUCCUAAAGAGUAACGGAGGAGUACGAAGGUGCGCUCAGCGUGGUCGGAAAUCACGCGUAGAGUAUAAAGGCAAAAGCGCGCUUAACUGCGAGACCCACAAGUCGAGCAGGUACGAAAGUAGGUCUUAGUGAUCCGGUGGUUCUGUAUGGAAGGGCCAUCGCUCAACGGAUAAAAGGUACUCUGGGGAUAACAGGCUGAUACCGCCCAAGAGUUCAUUUCGACGGCGGUGUUUGGCACCUCGAUGUCGGCUCAUCUCAUCCUGGGGCUGAAGCAGGUCCCAAGGGUAUGGCUGUUCGCCAUUUAAAGAGGUACGCGAGCUGGGUUUAGAACGUCGUGAGACAGUUCGGUCCCUAUCUACCGUGGGCGCUGGAAAUUUGAGAGGAUCUGCUCCUAGUACGAGAGGACCAGAGUGGACGAACCUCUGGUGUACCGGUUGUGACGCCAGUCGCAUCGCCGGGUAGCUAUGUUCGGAAGGGAUAACCGCUGAAAGCAUCUAAGCGGGAAGCCUACCUCAAGAUAAGAUUUCCCUAGGACUUUAUGUCCUCUAAAGAGCCGUUCGAGACUAGGACGUUGAUAGGUUGGAUGUGGAAGAAUAGUGAUAUGUGAAGCUGACCAAUACUAAUUGCUCGUGAGGCUUGACUAU